rnacentral:rRNA from 1 species
UACGUAGGGGGCAAGCGUUGUCCGGAAUUAUUGGGCGUAAAGCGCGCGCAGGCGGUCUUUUAAGUCUGGUGUCUAAGUGCGGGGCUCAACCCCGUGAUGCACUGGAAACUGGCGGACUCGAGUCCCGGAGAGGAGAGUGGAAUUCCUGGUGUAGCGGUGAAAUGCGUAGAUAUCAGGAGGAACACCGGUGGCGAAGGCGGCUCUCUAUCUCGAUUCUGACGCUGAGGCGCGAAAGCUAGGGGAGCAAACGGG